rnacentral:lncRNA from 1 species
CUAGAAAGAGAAGGCUUUCCUAGAGCUGCGUUCUCACUGUGCCCAUUGGCAUUCCUUGGUUUCCGGCUUCUCCGCCUCCCAGUCCGAAACAUGAAAGCAAAGGAAACCCAGAGAACUCCCUACCACGUUGUUCUUCAAGAUCCCCUGCCAGUUUGCCUUCUUCUCUCAAGCUCUCAGAGGCCCAAGGACGAUUAACAGAACUAGGUCACGGCAUUUUUGUUCACCAUCUUUCUUUAUAAAAACCCUGCCCUGCUUCUCUUUACUGAUUAGAGGGUGUCUGAGCAUCCCCAGGUGACUUGAGAGGCCCAGAUCUCAGAGGUCACCUGAGUGUGAAGGAUAAGACUGCAUGUCACAGGCGAAAUGGGAUUCACCACGUGAUAGUGAGCCUCCCAGAGCCCCCUGCAGUGCCACAACAUGGCACAGGUGCCCGGGAAACAGCUAUUGAAUGAAUUAACAAGCCACCACAUCCUGCCCCCACUGAGUCCAAAAUCCUCCCACUGCCACAGCAUGUUCUGCCCACCAAACAGAGGGAAGACAGGGUCAGCAGCUCCAUGGGCCCUCAGAGAAAGCCCAGCCUUAACACAGCAAUGCAGAACCCACUGCAGGCAACAGAGUGUCCUGGCGAUGGAGCCAUCUGCCCAGGUUCAAAUGCUGCAUGGCCCUGGGCAAGUUCCAUGGCUUCACUGCCCCUCAAUCCUGAGCUGUAAACUGCAGCUACCAACAGGGCCCACCUCAUGGGGAUCUUAUGAGGACUGAAUGAGAUAACAGAGGUACAACUUCCCAGAUGCGAUGUGGACACAAAGUUUUGGAGAGUGAAUAGGAGUUUUCCGGAUGGACCAAGGGUAGGAAGUCACUCCAGGACAUAGGAUGCUGCAAAGAGCCACACUCUGGAUGACAACAGGACAGGCCUUUAGGAGGUGGCUGUCAAGGCUGGCUGAAGGUUGGAACCUCCUGGAGUGCUUGCAAAAACUACCAAGGAGAUAAUACACAUUUGAGAUGAUGGAUUUGCUAAUUAUCCUAUUUGCAUAAUGUAUACAUGAUUCAAAACAUCACAUUGUACCCCAUAAAUGUGUGCAAUUAUUAAUAUUAUGUGUGAAUAAAAUACCAAUGUCAGCCCCACGCUACCAGCAGCACCCAAAGCUCUAUGCUGGAGCCUGCACAUCCCCCGUGUCUGUGCUAGGCUCCCAGGGCUCCUGAUGGUCAGCAAGAGAUCCGGACCCUGACCCAGGAAGGGCAGGGACUGGCCAGGGUAGAAAGGGCAGGGCUCAGGCUCACUGAGGCCAGCUGGUCUCCCCUACUCCCUGGUGCUGACCCUGGACACCCUCCCCUCCCCAACAGGCUGGCAGCCUCCACUGCCCAGACUCUAUCCACAAAGGAGGUAAGGACUUGUUCAGCGUCACCCACUCACCUGUCAGCACCCCCAGGACCACCCUCUGUAAAGGUCAUACAGGAGGAAGGAAGAGAGUCUUCCCAGGUGGCUAGCCCAAGGCACCUCUGCCAGCAUCCUGAGCAGAGGCAGCC